GGCAAAAUUGGUGAAAUUGAACAUGUGAAUUUGUGUAAAAAUUGAUGGAAUUUGGUUUGAAAAUGUUGAUUUGAUUGUGAUUGAGUCCUGUGCAUUAGAAAGAUUGUGAUUGAAUCCUGUGCAUUAGAAAUAUUAAGUUAGAUAAAUUUUGUGUUCGAACUAUGAAUUACAUGUUGCAUAUGUUGAAAUAGACAAGAAAAAUGAAGGAGGGAAUGUGAAAUAGGCCCUCCUCUGCACCACCACCAUAACAUCUUUCCGGCCCAAGCGGCCAAGCCUGACGAUCCCUUCCUCUCGACCUCUCUCGACUCCCUGUUUUCUCUCAUGUACGCAGUUUGCUCUCGCGCGUGCGCCAUAGACGACUUGUCGCCACCGUGCCGUCGUCGGCCGCCGACGAGCCGCCUCCUAGUACCCGGAUUGCACUCAACGUACUUUCCCUAUCGUUCAGGCCCUGUUCCUAGUACUUGAUUCGGAUUCGGUUGCCAAGGAAGGCUUUGAAUUCAACCUCCAACUAUAAACCGAUCUCGCCGCCCCCCGAAUAAAAUCCUUGUCCAAUAGAGUCCUCUGUUUGUUGUGGCUAUAUCUAGACUCCGGAGGCAAUCUAGGUUUCUUUUUGUUGUUGUGAAUUAUUAUCCGACUGGCCUUGUUCAAUCGCAAUCGAUGGGAUCCGCCAUCGCCGCCGCGGCUGGGAUGGUGGAACGGGAGUGGGCCUCCAUUAAGCAGCUUCCCGGCAGGCAGCAACAACGGAUUGCGGACCGCUGGUUGGAGGAUAUCAAGCGCAAGCAUCCUGACCUUGUAAUGGGCCCGCAGUCAAAAGAGGAGCGACACGCCUCCAUGGUUCUCCCCCAUGUCCGCAGUGCCCUUCGCCAUUACAAUUCCAACAAUCCGGUAACAGAUCAUUUAACCAUUCUGUCACGCCUAUGAUGGCGGAUGGGGAAGAUUGAGUGAAGGCGUGUCCUGUGUGAGUAAGCGUAUUUGGCGUGUACGCGUCUGUAAGUGGUGACCGUGGUUAUAAGGCCGAGAGUUCUCUCUUGCUGGACAAGUGGUGAAGUAAAAAGUAAAUCUGAAUCCCCAAUCCCAAUUCGUCCUCUCCCAGUCCCCUUUAUCGUUCUUCAAUUCGAUUCGAUGUCAAUUCCUAUUAGGUGACCGUAGAUCAUACAUAGGGAUACGACACAUUCAUACCAGCCCUUGCUUGCAUUCGUUCUUGUUGUUUUGGUUGAUUUCUGAACAAAGCUAUCGAUGAGACGAUUCAGUUUCCUAUGCCCCUUCGUGUGCUCUUUGUUUCAGGGCGCUGAGUUUGACCCCAUCGAGCCUUUGAUGUGCGAGCGUGUUGGUUUCCGAGACGAGAUUUGGUUCCAUGUCAACUUCUUAGCUCGCCCCCGCAAAAAGAAGCUUUCGGGUAGCAAAACGGAUGAUCCGCCAGACACCACUGUGCAGCACUUCUUCGCUGAGCUACACUACAACCGCUUGGACAGAGUCAUUGUUGAAGCAUGCAUCAUACUGGAAAAGCCGCUCGACCGCUUCGCAAAGAAGUACGUGUGCCUUCUGCAACGGUAGCUAUGGGAUUUUGCACCCAAGCAAUGGAGAAUUUGUAUGUGGGAAUAACAAGGCACACAAAAAGGAGUUUUACCGGACGAUGUACCUGUUCCAGAGGCAAUUUGAUAACUUGCCUCUGGUUAGUUAGCUGUUGGUUUUCGCAUUUCAAAUUAAAUGAGCAGAUGUUGUUAUAAGUUUAUUACUUAUGGAUAUCCAACAGCGUUGCAAAUGUAUAUGCAUGUUUUUGUUGUGA